GAGGGUAUAGCACAGUGGUAGAGCACAUGCCUACCAUGCAUGAGGUCAUGGGUUCGAUCCCCAGUACGUCUG
rfam:Camelus ferus unplaced genomic scaffold scaffold829, whole genome shotgun sequence.